UUUCCUCAUUAUUUUCCCACGCAUCGCUUCACUGCCUCUUCCUCUUGCAUUACAACGCUUACUCUCAGACCGCUUCUUCCUUGCAUUCUCUUCUUUCUCUUUUAUCUCUCUGUCGCCAAGGACCUCCAUUUUGUUCAACCAAAAGCACAGACAGUCUGUUGCCGGAGACGUAAACAAAAAUGUCGGAAAGUUCAGAUUUGUCCAUGAAUUUCUUUUUCACUAUAAAGAAAAAGUUUUACCAAUCUGUUGCUGGAGAUGAAAAAAAUCGCAGGCUGUCUGGAUUUGAUUUCUCGCUUCACUUUUCUUUUGAAUUCCUCUGCUAAUCUCUCUAUUAUUUCAUCCUUGCCAUUUUACAUUUUCUUUUAUCGUACUCCAGUUACUUGUGCUUUGGUUUAUUUAUUCCAGUCCGUAUUUGCAUCACAUCAGUGAAGAGGAACUACUACAUCACAAACUGUGCCCAACUUAAUUGUGGAAACAUAGGAAAAAUAUGAGAUGCUUAUUAUGGCGCCCAUGAACUGUUCGAAAAGAUGCCCUAUAGAGAGAUCUUGCCCACGCCUUCAGAAAAAUGUGUUAUUUACUCAACAGAUGAAAGAUGCCCCAUAGGGACGGCUUCAGGAAAGGGUAUUAUUUAUUCAACAGAUGUAGGUCGAUAAUUCUUUGAAAGUAAAUCUUUACCCAUAUGUGUUCUUGGGUUAUAUUUGCAGCAUGUAAAAUCUACCCCUUUUUAGUUCAACAACUAAUGUUUUCCACCAUUACGUUCAACAUGGUUCAACGCCUAAUCUAAUUGUGUAGGUGUUUUCCUUU